rnacentral:lncRNA from 1 species
AAUGAAAAUUUUGUUAUAUUAUUUUUCUUUCAAAAGAAAAUUUUGAAAGAAUGCUUUUUAUAUUUUGUUAGAUGAAUUUUGUAUUUUGUAUUUUGUUAGAUGAAAGAGAAAUAAAAUGAUAGAUGCAUUUUGUAUUUGGUUAAAUGAAUUUUGUAUUGUAUUUAAUUUUUUAAAAGUUUUAUGUUUUUUUAAUCCUUUCAUUGGAAUAAAUUAUAUAACUUUUGUUAUUCAGUUCACAGGAUGUUUCGGUUUUCUAUCAUGAAAAAGUUAUUGACCUUUGUUAUUAGCGCUGUACACUUCUGAUCCGAAGGAUAUGGAAAAACUUCGAAUCUUCUCCUCUGUUUCAUAUGAUAGGCUUCAAUGAAGUGUACAAGAUAAUAAUCUUUACUUUUCUUCUUAUUCUUGAAAGAAAUGGUUUUUUUUUAAAAUAAUAUACAAAUACAGAGUGUCUAUUCUGAAUGUUUUGAAUUUUUUUACUACAAAUAGAUCACUAUCAUAGCUAUGAAAUAGAUCACUUUAAAUAUC